GCGGGGCGCGUAGGUGACGAACCCGCGGUGCUGGAGCUGGGCGGUGGGCUCGCCUGCCUGAGAGGCCGGGGUGUGUGUGCCGCGGUCCGGCCGGAGUUUCCGGUUCCCAGCCGCCUGCAGUGGUAGCUCGUCCUGCUAAAGCUCGAGGCCCGCGAACGCGGCGUGGCGAGGAAGACCGCGGCCUCUUGGCGUCCCGGGCGCUCUUCGUGUCGCCGGGGAACCGCGGAGCUGAGCAGUUGGGGAAGCAGGCCCGAGCCUCAUAGAGGCCCGGGGACCCGAGGAGGAUGAGCUGGCUCUUUCCCCUGACCAAGAGUGUGUCGUCCUCUGCGGCCGGUUGUCCCUCUGGCCUUACCAGCCUCCAGCAGCAGAAGCAGCGGCUGAUCGAGUCCCUCCGGAACUCACACUCCAGUAUAGCUGAAAUACAAAAAGAUGUGGAAUACAGGUUGCCAUUCACAGUGAACAACCUGACAAUUAACAUUAAUAUAUUACUUCCUCCACAAUUUCCUCAGGAAAAACCAGUGAUCAGUGUUUAUCCACCAAUAAGACAUCACUUGAUGGAUAAGCAAGGGAUUUAUGUUACCUCUCCAUUAGUAAGCAAUUUUACAAUGCACUCAGAUCUUGGAAAAAUCAUUCAGAGUCUUUUGGAUGAGUUCUGGAAGAAUCCUCCAGUUUUAGCUCCUACUUCAACAGCAUUUCCAUACCUGUACAGUAACCCAGGUGGGAUGCCUCCUUACACUUCUCAGGGUUUUCCAUUUCUUCCUCCAUUUCCUCCACAAGAAGCUAACAGGAAUAUCACUUCUUUGUCUGUUGCUGACACUAUUUCUUCUUCAACCACAAGUUAUGCUGCAGUCAAGCCUGUGGCUCCCUCAUUUGGUGUCCUUUCAAGUCUGCCAUUACCUGUUCCUACAACAGAAACUUCAGGACCGAUUAAUCAAAAUGGUUUUGGUUACAAGAUGCCGGAUAUCCCUGAUGAAUUUCCAGAACUUUCAGAACUAAGUGUGUCACAACUCACAGAUAUGAAUGAACAAGAGGAGGUAUUACUGGAACAGUUUCUGACUUUGCCUCAAUUAAAGCAAAUUAUUACUGAUAAAGAUGACUUAGUAAAAAGUAUUGAGGAAUUAGCAAGAAAAAAUCUCCUUUUGGAGCCUGGCUUGGAAGCCAAACGACAAAUUGUUUUAGAUAAGUAUGAAUUACUUACACAAAUGAAAUCUACCUUCGAAAAGAAGAUGCAAAGACAGCAUGAACUUAGUGAGAGCUGUAGUGCAAGUGCCCUACAGGCAAGAUUGAAAGUAGCUGCACAUGAAGCUGAGGAAGAAUCUGAUAAUAUUGCUGAAGAUUUCUUGGAGGGAAAAACUGAAAUAGAUGAUUUUCUCAGUAGCUUCAUGGAAAAGAGAACAGUAUGUAAUACUCUUCAGUUGAGGAUGAGUGACAACAUAAUGUCAAAUUACUUAAGUAUAUUCAUGAAUACAAAAUCAUUAGCAGAUAACCAAGCUGGAGUUUUGAGUACUGUGAGAGGAAUCUGAAGAGCCUCUUUUGGGAAGGAUAGCAACACUCUACUGUCGCUUUAAACCUGCUUGUUCUGAGUACACAGGCAGAUUUGCCACUGUAGAAGGGCGAAAGAAGAGAAACUUCAGCAGGUGAUAGCAAUGCACAGCCAAUUCCAUGCUCCUCUAUAGAUUUUCCUGAAAACACGAACUGCCAACAAAGAAAUGGGACACAAAACUAAGCACAUCAUUUUAUAUUUAUGACUUGGGAAUUGGCAUUUCAUGACAACAGCUGAAUUAAGAUAUAUGAUACAGUUGUAUACAGAACUGAUUUUGUAUAGAUUAGAAUGAUUGCUAUAUUUGCUUUGAGAAACUUUUCUGCACUAUUUGCACUAAAAAGUUUAUUUAUUGUUGAUAAACCCUAUAUUUAAAUUCCACUGCUAUUCUCUUGAUUAAAUACCUAUGCAUGUAAUUUUAGCUACCUUUUAAUAUUUUAUAAAAUUACUGAUUUAUAUUUGUAGUUUUAAUUUGAAGCUGCCUCAUUUCUUUAUCAAGAGUGGUUUUGAAAGUCCUUCCUGCCAGCCUUUUUAAAAACCUAUUUUCAGCUGUGGAACAAACAUCCCCUCGCCCAUUUUGCUCCUUCUUUCUAGAUGUUAAAAUUUUCAAAGGCAAUUUGUUUUCAGAUACUCAGUAUCAGGAAACACCAAACCUGCCACUGUGCCAUCUCAAGAAAGCAACUUUUAAUACUUACAAUAAGUCAAAAGAAUAAAGAGGAUGCUUUUUGACAGUUUUCUUUUUAAACUAAGGAUGCAUUUAAGGAGCAAUACAGGUUACUAUUUUUGGUUUUUGUUUUUCUGUUCUGGUUUAGGGUCUCACUCUAUAAUCUAGGCUGGCCCCAACAACUGUAAUCCUUCUUUCUGAGUGUUGGAAUUAUAGGCAGGUGCCACCUAACUCAUCUGGUAAAGAAAUACUUUAUUUACUUUAAAAACUGUCUUUCACUUAUACCAGUUCAAUACAGACUUCCAUGCCAACUUUUAAAAAAUAAGUAUCUGAUGGGGUUUUUGUUAAGUAAGGAUACUCUUUUUAUAUUCCAAAUGUUAAGAAAGUCUUUUUGGUAAGAAAUAGUAAAUCUAGACACAAAAACUUAAUGAAAUUUUUUGACAUUUAGUGUGACUUAUCUUUUCCUAAGGUUAGCUUUUCCUAAGAAAAAGCUAUGUAGCAAUACGCAAUUUCAAUCUUAAUUUUUAAUGAAUUUUAUUUUCUUUAAUUUGUACUUAAGUUCACAAUUUGUUUCUGUACAGUGUUACAGAAUGAACCCAUUAAAGUGCAUAAAGGAGAAAAUGUAUAACUACAUAUCUGAGGUUUGGUAAAGUAGUAUCUCAAUCACUAAAUGCUCAUCUAUUCAGACUUCAUCUCACUGUCAUGCCAAUGCUGGCAAACAUUACAGUCUUGUCUUCAUUUGUCUUUUCAUACUGUAUGUUUUUUGGUAAUAGAGUUUUAGGAAAAAAAAAAAGUAUUUUCUUAGAAUUGAAUAGUAAUUUCAUCUGUUUUUAGAAGACACAUACAAGGACUAUAAAGAUAGUGGUCGCAGUACACCUUUAUUAACUGCCUGUCUUCCUGGCACUCUGCUAAGGGCAUGCCAUUUAACCUACAAAAUGAGCAGAUGAAGGUAAAAUUGAUAUUCCUGAUGUUGUUACUCCCAAUGGGUAGGAGAGAUAUCCCAGGUAAUGUUUCAAAUUUGUGACUGAGGUGGGGGUGUUCAGAGACCGGUCCUUACUGCACUGGUGUCAGAGGUAAGAUUCUCAGUCACUGCAGUCAGUGAAGGAUUGAAGAGUCCCACCCAGUCUUUUACAAACAAUCUAGUAAGAACCAUGUACAUCUCAGAACAAGAGACCAGCAGACUGUAGACCUUCUAGAAGAACACUGACUCAUUUGAUCUACUUUAUUAAACAUCUACUAAAUAGAAAGGCAUUGUAGAAAUACACAGAAUUAACCUGAAUAUGGUCCUAAUGUUUAAGUGCUUCUCUGCCUUCUACUCGACACCCCCCCGCGUAUGUUCCCUAUAUAACCACAAGAGCAAUCCAAUUUUUUUCUUUAAACCUGGAUUAUCCCAAUUUCAUUUUAUAUCAUAUAAAACAGUACUAAAAAGUUUCUCCUUCAAAAGUAAUUAGAGAACCUCUUUCUAACCCAAUCAUUAAGUAGAGACAUUUGAUCACAAUUACCUGCAUUUAACAAGCUGAUAAAUUAGUUAAGAUAUAGAGGUUUGUCAUUUAGAGAGAAAGAAUCUGCAUUUGAAUAUGCCAUAUAAAUUUGGGUUCUGUGUAAGGAAAAUUACAUAGCCCAUAUUUCCUCUUUGUAAAAUGGGCUGUAGACAUGGAUACCAAAGAAGACAUUCUGAUUUUACUAUAGUCUAAUAGAAGGCUAGAUGGAAAUCAAGAUCACAGAGGAGAGCUUAUGAAUUACUAGAUUACCCAGGGUAGGGCUUUUUCAUGGAUAUUUAAAGUGAAUACCUAAAAAUAGAAGAUACUUUUAUAUCAGUGAGCUGUAUGGUAAAGAUACCUAUUUCAAAGUUGGGAGGAAUUUUCAGAAUAAACACUAGGGAAUUUUUCAGAAAUUGUUUGAUAAAUAAUUUUGACUAUAAUCUACUUAAAUUAAAGGGCAGCUAAAAUUCAGUUUACAGAGAAAAAAGUAUGAGUUCAGGGUUUUUUGAGGCAGGGCUUGAAGCCCAGGCUGUCCUAUAACUUGCUCUGUGGCCAAGGGUGACCUUGCGCUUCUUGCACUUCAUGCGUGCUAAGGCAGGCACUCCACCACCUGAGCUACAUUACCCUGUCCCCUAAACAUGUGCUGUUAAAGAUUAAAAGUUUGGUCUGGGGAGGUGUGGCUCAGUGGCUAAAGCACUUCCUGUGCAAGUAUGAGGACCUGAGUUAAAAGCUUUGUACACAUUAACACACCUAUAAUCCCAGAACUCCUAUAGCACACACCCCCGCAAAAAAAAGGUUGACUAAGAAUUCCUGGAAGCUUGUGGACCAGUUAGCAUGGCAGGCCAAGUGCAGCAGCACACAUCAGAGACCCUGCUAUAAAUAAGGUGGAAAGCAAGAACUGACACCUGGAGUUUCCCCCUUUUUUCUUUUUUUUUUUUUUUUUU